AGUGAACGCUGGCGGUAGGCCUAACACAUGCAAGUCGAACGGCAGCACAGUAAGAGCUUGCUCUUACGGGUGGCGAGUGGCGGACGGGUGAGGAAUACAUCGGAAUCUACUUUUUCGUGGGGGAUAACGUAGCGAAACUUACGCUAAUACCGCAUACGACCUACGGGUGAAAGCAGGGGAUCUUCGGACCUUGCGCGAUUGAAUGAGCCGAUGUCGGAUUAGCUAGUUGGCGGGGUAAAGGCCCACCAAGGCGACGAUCCGUAGCUGGUCUGAGAGGAUGAUCAGCCACACUGGAACUGAGACACGGUCCAGACUCCUACGGGAGGCAGCAGUGGGGAAUAUUGGACAAUGGGCGCAAGCCUGAUCCAGCCAUGCCGCGUGGGUGAAGAAGGCCUUCGGGUUGUAAAGCCCUUUUGUUGGGAAAGAAAAGCAGCAGGUUAAUACCCCGCUGUUCUGACGGUACCCAAAGAAUAAGCACCGGCUAACUUCGUG
rnacentral:rRNA from 1 species